rnacentral:rRNA from 1 species
CGAGAAGUAUCUUCGGAUAUGAGUAGAGCGGCGGACGGGUGAGUAACGCGUAGGAAUCUACCUAGUAGAAGGGGAUAGCCCGAGGAAACUCGGAUUAAUACCGUAUACCUCCUUCGGGAGAAAGAAGGCCUCUCUUUGAAGCUUUCGCUAUUAGAUGAGCCUGCGUAAGAUUAGCUUGUUGGUGAGGUAAAGGCUCACCAAGGCGACGAUCUUUAGCGGGUCUGAGAGGACGAUCCGCCACAUUGGGACUGAGACACGGCCCAGACUCCUACGGGAGGCAGCAGUGGGGAAUAUUGGACAAUGGGCGCAAGCCUGAUCCAGCCAUACCGCGUGUGUGAAGAAGGCCCUAGGGUUGUAAAGCACUUUAAGUUGGGAAGAAAAGUUAUUGGUUAAUACCCAAUGACCGUGACAUUACCUUCAGAAUAAGGACCGGCUAAUUCCGUGCCAGCAGCCGCGGUAAUACGGAAGGUCCAAGCGCUAAUCGGAAUUACUGGGCGUAAAGCGCGCGUAGGUGGUUUAUUAAGUUGGAUGUGAAAUCCCCGGGCUCAACCUGGGAACUGCAUCCAAAACUAAUUCACUAGAGUACGAUAGAGGGAGGUAGAAUUCACAGUGUAGCGGUGGAAUGCGUAGAUAUUGUGAAGAAUACCAAUGGCGAAGGCAGCCUCCUGGAUCUGUACUGACACUGAGGUGCGAAAGCGUGGGUAGCGAACAGGAUUAGAUACCCUGGUAGUCCACGCCGUAAACGAUGUCAACUAGCUGUUGGAAAACUAUGUUUUUCAGUGGCGCAGCUAACGUAGUAAGUUGACCGCCUGGGGAGUACGGCCGCAAGGCUAAAACUCAAAUGAAUUGACGGGGACCCGCACAAGCGGUGGAGCAUGUGGUUUAAUUCGAUGCAACGCGAAAAACCUUACCUAUACUUGACAUACUUGGAAUACUUUGUAAUGAAGUAGUGCCUUCGGGAACCAAGAUACAGGUGCU